rnacentral:rRNA from 1 species
AUGAUGCAAGAGUCUUCAUGUAAGGAGGAAGUUUAUCGUACUCCUCCUUCGACGCCCUUAUCAUUCCUUGGAAAGCAUUGUCUUCACAGAUUCAACAGAGAUGUCAGUCAUAAAAAGCAAGCAUUUAAUAUAUCUUCUAAACAUAAAAGAUACACUCUGCUGACCAUCUUGCUCAUAGGUUUCAAUUUGGGGAGGUGUGGGUUCUUCAGCUUCCUCCAAGAUCUUUUGGUCAUCAUCAACACUGAACGGUAUAAACACAAGGUGAUUUUCAAUGAAGAAAAAACAAGUAAAGAACUGUGGAGAACAACAAAAAAAAGAACAGCCUGA